rnacentral:rRNA from 1 species
GACAGAGGAUGCAAGCGUUAUCCAGAAUGAUUGGGCGUAAAGCGUCUGUAGGUGGCUUUUCAAGUCCGCCGUCAAAUCCCACGGCUCAACCCUGGACAGGCGGUGGAAACUACCAAGCUGGAGUACGGUAGGGGCAGAGGGAAUUUCCGGUGGAGCGGUGAAAUGCAUUGAGAUCGGAAAGAACACCAACGGCGGAAAGCACUCUGCUGGGCCGACACUGACACUGAGAGACGAAAGCUAGGGGAGCAAAUGGG